CCUACGGGUGGCUGCAGUGAGGAAUAUUGGUCAAUGGGCGCGAGCCUGAACCAGCCAAGUAGCGUGAAGGAUGACUGCCCUACGGGUUGUAAACUUCUUUUAUAAAGGAAUAAAGUGAGGCACGUGUGCCUUUUUGUAUGGACUUUAUGAAUAAGGAUCGGCUAACUACGUGCCAGCAGCGGCGGUAAUACGGAGGGUCCGAGCGUUAUCCGGAUUUAUUGGGUUUAAAGGGAGCGUAGGUGGGUUGUUAAGUCAGUUGUGAAAGUUUGCGGCUUAACCGUAAAAUUGCAAUUGAUACUGGCAGUCUUGAGUAUAGUAGAGGUAGGCGGAAUUCGUGGUGUAGCGGUGAAAUGCUUAGAUAUCACGAAGAACCCCGAUUGCGAAGGCAGCUUACUAAACUGUGACUGACAUUGAUGCUCGAAAGUGUGGGUAUCAAACAGGAUUAGAUACCCGUGUAGUC
rnacentral:rRNA from 1 species